UGGGAUAUAGCCAAGUUGGUAAGGCAUCGGAUUCUGAUUCCGACAUUCCGUAGGUUCGAGUCCUGCUAUCCCAGCCA
rnacentral:tRNA from 1 species